UAAUGGGCUUUUAGACUACAUUUCCCAUAAUCCCCCGCCGGAAGUACGUCAUAAUUUGACGCCAAACAUAAUGGCGGCUCAGUGAAACACAGGCUUCGUAAGCGACUUGAUUUUGAUCUUUUAAGCCUUGGCGUAAACAUCAACAAACCUGGUCAACAAUCAAACCUGCUCUCUGGACGCCGCAGGGAAGGAGCGGGAGUCUCGGAAGCGCAGUCGCUCUCGCUCCGGGGAUCGUGACCGGAAGGGAUCUCCGGGCAGAGAACGCAAACGGCACCGAUCCCGUGAACGCAAGCGCUCCCGCAGCAGAUCCAAAUCUCCUGACCGAGAUCGUCGUCUAAAAGACAAAGAAAGAGACAGAGAAAGGAGCCGCAAAGACCGAGAAAGAGACCGGGACAGACGAGACAAAGACCGGUCCAAGAAAUCAAGGUUUGAAUCAUUCUUGCCUCAAAAAAUCUUUUUAGGGCCAAACAGUACGGAUGACAAGAUGA
rnacentral:lncRNA from 1 species